rnacentral:rRNA from 1 species
AUUCCGGUUGAUCCUGCCGGAGGCCAUUGCUAUUGGAGUCCGAUUUAGCCAUGCUAGUCGCACGAGUUCAGACUCGCGGCGAACAGCUCAGUAACACGUGGCCAAUCUCCCCCACAGCGACGGACACCCUCGGGAAGCUGAGGCCAAUCCGCCAUACACCUCUCACGCUGGAGUGCCGAGAGGCUCAAUCGCUCUUCGGAGUGCUGUGGGAUGAGGCUGCGGCCGAUUAGGUAGACGGUGGGGUAACGGCCCACCGUGCCCAUAAUCGGUACGGGUCGUGAAAGCGAGAACCCGGAGACGGAAUCUGAGACAAGAUUCCGGGCCCUACGGGGCGCAGCAGGCGCGAAACCUUUUACACUGCACGCCAGUGCGAU